rnacentral:rRNA from 1 species
AACGAACGCUGGCGGCAUGCCUAACACAUGCAAGUCGAACGAGACCUUCGGGUCUAGUGGCGCACGGGUGCGUAACGCGUGGGAACCUGCCCUUAGGUUCGGAAUAACUCCCCGAAAGGGGUGCUAAUACCGGAUAAUGUCUUCGGACCAAAGAUUUAUCGCCUUUGGAUGGGCCCGCGUUGGAUUAGCUAGUUGGUAGGGUAAAAGCCUACCAAGGCGACGAUCCAUAGCUGGUCUGAGAGGAUGAUCAGCCACACUGGGACUGAGACACGGCCCAGACUCCUACGGGAGGGAGCAGUAGGGAAUAUUGGACAAUGGGCGAAAGCCUGAUCCAGCAAUGCCGCGUGAGUGAUGAAGGCCUUAGGGUUGUAAAGCUCUUUUACCCGGGAUGAUAAUGACAGUACCGGGAGAAUAAGCUCCGGCUAACUCCGUG